rnacentral:tRNA from 1 species
GGCCUCAUCGUCUAGCGGCUAGGACAGCGGGCUUUCAUCCCGUAAACCCGGGUUCGAUUCCCGGUGAGGUCA